rnacentral:misc_RNA from 1 species
UUUCCGUAGGUGAACCUGCGGAAGGAUCAUUAUUGUAUAACCGAGGUGCGAGGGCUGUCGCUGACCCGAAAGGUCGUGCACGCCCGAGUGCCCUCACACACAUCCAUCUCACCCCUAUGUGCACCACCGCGUGGGUCCCCCUUUGGCUUGUUCGGAGGGGGGCUUACGCUUUCACACAAACUUUGUAUGCAGUGUAGAAUGUACUUUUUGUUUUUGCGAUCACGCAAUCAAUACAACUUUCAACAACGGAUCUCUUGGCUCUC